AGUGAACGCUGGCGGUAGGCCUAACGCAUGCAAGUCGAACGGCAGCACAGUAAGAGCUUGCUCUUACGGGUGGCGAGUGGCGGACGGGUGAGGAAUACAUCGGAAUCUACUUUUUCGUGGGGGAUAACGUAGGGAAACUUACGCUAAUACCGCAUACGACCUACGGGUGAGAGCAGGGGAUCUUCUGACCUUGCGCGAUUGAAUGAGCCGCUGUCGGAUUAGCUAGUUGGCGGGGUAAAGGCCCACCAAGGCGACGAUCCGUAGCUGGUCUGAGAGGAUGAUCAGCCACACUGGAACUGAGACACGGACCAGACGCCUACGGGAGGCAGCAGUGGGGAAUAUUGGACAAUGGGCGCAAGCCUGAUCCAGCCAUACCGAGUGGGUGAAGAAGGCCUUCGGGUUGUAAAGCCCUUUUGUUGGGAAAGAAAAGCAGCAGGUUAAUACCACGCUGUUCUGACGGUACCCAAAGAAUAAGCACCGGCUAACUUCGUG
rnacentral:rRNA from 1 species